UGCGGAGGGAUCAUUACACAAUAAACAUAUGAAGGCUGCACCGCCAACAGGCGGCAAGGCUGGAGUAUUUUAUUACCCUUGUCUUUUGCGCACUUGUUGUUUCCUGGGCGGGUUCGCCCGCCUCCAGGACCACAUGAUAAACCUUUUUUAUGCAGUUGCAAUCAGCGUCAGUACAACAAAUGUAAAUCAUUUACAACUUUCAACAACGGAUCUCUUGGUUCUGGCAUCGAUGAAGAACGCAGCGAAAUGCGAUACGUAGUGUGAAUUGCAGAAUUCAGUGAAUCAUCGAAUCUUUGAACGCACAUUGCGCCCUUUGGUAUUCCAAAGGGCAUGCCUGUUCGAGCGUCAUUUGUACCCUCAAGCUUUGCUUGGUGUUGGGCGUUUUUUGUCUUUGGUUUUGUCCAAAGACUCGCCUUAAAACGAUUGGCAGCCGGCCUACUGGUUUCGCAGCGCAGCACAUUUUUGCGCUUGCAAUCAGCAAAAGAGGACGGCACUCCAUCAAGACUCUAUAUCACUUUUGACCUCGGAUCAGGUAGGGAUACCCGCUGAACUUAAGCAUAUCAAU
rnacentral:rRNA from 1 species